GGUAACCGCCCCGCGGGGCGGUUUGAAAAGGGAAGCGGGGUGAAAAUCCCCCACAGUCCCGCUGCCGUGAUGGAGGAGCGACCCCGCAGGAAGUCACUGGUCCCGUUUGGGGCUGGGAAGGCGCGGGGGAGCGGAGAGACCUAAGUCGGAAGACCUGCCGUGGAC
rnacentral:ncRNA from 1 species